GAGGGUGUAGCUCAGUGGUAGAGCGCAUGCUUAGCAUGUGCAAGGUCCUGGGUUCAAUCCCCACUAUCUCCA
rnacentral:tRNA from 1 species